rnacentral:lncRNA from 1 species
UUGAUUGGUUGGUUGGUAGGUUGGUUGGUAGGUUGGUUGGUUGGUUGGAUGGUUGGUUGGUUGGUUGGUUGAUUGGUGGGUUGGUUGGUUGAUUGGUGGGUUGGUUGGUAGGUUGGUAGGUUGGUUGGUUGGUGUAGGUAUGUAGUUCUUUUCUCCCUCUCCUGGCAGUAUUGGGUCUUUGCUGAUUUGCUGCAUUAGACAUGGUUGAUUCCUUUCCUGAUCUCUGUUGACAUCUGCUACUUGGUGGACUGCCUUCUGUCCUGCAUUCUUGAGUGUGAAAAUAUCUUCUUAUAUGUAUCGUAGUCCUCUAAGAAUUGCUGUGGGGUUGGCGUGAUGGCCUAUCGAUAAAGAACCUUUACUAAAGACCCCAUAUUGUGCAGUUCCCAGAAGCCACAGAGGAGUUCAUAACUACCUGUACCUCCAGUUGCAGGGCAUCAAAGUCUCCUGACCUUCCUUCCCCAGUUUGUGUGUGCACGUGGUGUGUGUGUGUGUGUGUGUGUGUGUGUGUGUGUAUGCACACAUACACAGACAGUAAAAUUAACUAGAACAGCAUUUUCUACAGCUCUUGCUUAGUUGUUAAAGGUUGAUUUAAUUUGUGUUUAGCUUGGAAUAUUUUUAUUUUUCCCAUUUUAACAGAUAAUGUUACUGGGUAUGGCAGUUGUACUGCACACUUCAAAGCUUGAGCUGUAUCAUUUUGUUUGUUUGUUUGUUUGUUUGUUUUGUUUUUUGUUUUUCUGUUGGUUUCUGAGACAGGAUUUCUCUGUGUAGCCCUGGCUGUCCUGGGACUCACUCUGUAGACCAGGCUGGCCUCGAACUCAGAAAUCCGCCUGCUUCUGCCUCCGCCUCCCGAGUGCUGGGAUUAAAGGCGUGAGCCACCACUUGGUGAGCUGUAUCAUUUCUUAUUUUUCUGGCUUUUAGACUUGGUGACAAAAGCUCUGAUGUAAUUCUGCUGUUUCUGUCUCAGUGUGUUAGUUUGGGAUUUCCUUUACAAUGUUUAUUAUUGUUAUUGUUGUUGUUGUUGUUGUUGCUUUGUAUUUUUGAUAUAUUGACCAUACAUCACAGAGAGCUUCUUUCUGGUCAUGUCUCUUUGAGGAUGGAA